GAUGAACGCUGGCGGCGUGCCUAAUACAUGCAAGUCGAGCGAACAGACGAGGAGCUUGCUCCUUUGACGUUAGCGGCGGACGGGUGAGUAACACGUGGGUAACCUACCUAUAAGACUGGGAUAACUUCGGGAAACCGGAGCUAAUACCGGAUAAUAUUUCGAACCGCAUGGUUCGAUAGUGAAAGAUGGCUUUGCUAUCACUUAUAGAUGGACCUGCGCCGUAUUAGCUAGUUGGUAAGGUAACGGCUUACCAAGGCAACGAUACGUAGCCGACCUGAGAGGGUGAUCGGCCACACUGGAACUGAGACACGGUCCAGACUCCUACGGGAGGCAGCAGUAGGGAAUCUUCCGCAAUGGGCGAAAGCCUGACGGGGCAACGCCGCGUGAGUGAUGAAGGUCUUCGGAUCGUAAAACUCUGUUAUUAGGGAAGAGCAAACGUGUAAGUAACUGUGCACGUCUUGACGGUACCUAAUCAGAAAGCCACGGCUAACUACGUG
rnacentral:rRNA from 1 species